CUAUGCGCCUUCGCCAGCCCGCUCAGAAACUACAAAUGAAUUGACGGGGGCCCGCACAAGCGGAGGAACAUGUGGUUUAAUUCGAUGAUACGCGAGGAACCUUACCUGGGCUUAAAUGUAGAGUGCAUUGGAGGGAAACUUUCUAUUUUCUUCGGAACUCUUUACAAGGUGCUGCAUGGUUGUCGUCAGCUCGUGCCGUGAGGUGUCGGGUUAAGUCCCAUAACGAGCGCAACCCUUAUCGUUAGUUGCCAGCGGGUAAAGCCGGGGACUCUAGCGAAACUGCCGGUGUAAACCGAGAGGAAGGUGGGGAUGACGUCAAAUCAGCACGGCCCUUAUGUCCAGGGCUACACACGUGUUACAAUGGCCGGUACAGAGGGCAGCUACCUGUUGACAGGAUGCGAAUCUCGAAAGCCGGUCUCAGUUCGGAUCGGAGUCUGCAACCCGACUCCGUGAAGCUGGAUUCGCUAGUAAUCGCGCAUCAGCCAUGGCGCGGUGAAUACGUUCCCGGGCCUU
rnacentral:rRNA from 1 species